GAUGAAGAACGUAGCGAAAUGCGAUAAGUAAUGUGAAUUGCAGAAUUCAGUGAAUCAUCGAAUCUUUGAACGCACAUUUCGCCCGCCAGUAUUCUGGCGGGCAUGCCUGUUCGAGCGUCAUUUCAACCAUCAAGCCCCCGGCUUGUGUUGGGGACCUGCGGCUGCCGCAGGCCCUGAAAACCAGUGGCGGGCUCGCUGUCACACCGAGCGUAGUAGAUUUUCAUCUCGCUCAGGGCGUGCUGCGGGUUCCGGCCGUAAAAAGCCUUAUUUACCCAAGGUUGACCUCGGAUCAGGUAGGAAGACCCGCUGAACUUAAGCAUAUCAAUAAGCGGAGGA
rnacentral:misc_RNA from 1 species